rnacentral:rRNA from 1 species
CAAUAGCGUAUAUUUAAGUUGCUGCAGUUAAAAAGCUCGUAGUUGGAUUUCGGGUGGGAAUGGCCGGUCCGCCGUUUCGGUGUGCACUUGCUACGCCCACCUUGCUGCCGGGGACGUGCUCUUGAGUUCACGCUCGGGACACGGAGUCGGCGAGGUUACUUUGAGUAAAGUAGAGUGUUCAAAGCAGGCCUACGCUCUGAAUACAUUAGCAUGGAAUAACACGAUAGGACUCUGGCCUAUCUUGUUGGUCUGUAGGACCGGAGUAAUGAUUAAGAGGGACAGUCGGGGGCAUUCGUAUUUCAUUGUCAGAGGUGAAAUUCUUGGAUUUAUGAAAGACGAACUACUGCGAAAGCAUUUGCCAAGGAUGUUUUCAUUAA